AUUGAACGCUGGCGGCAGGCCUAACACAUGCAAGUCGAACGGUAACAGGAAACAGCUUGCUGUUUCGCUGACGAGUGGCGGACGGGUGAGUCAUGUCUGGGAAACUGCCUGAUGGAGGGGGAUAACUACUGGAAACGGUAGCUAAUACCGCAUAACGUCGCAAGACCAAAGAGGGGGACCUUCGGGCCUCUUGCCAUCGGAUGUGCCCAGAUGGGAUUAGCUAGUAGGUGGGGUAACGGCUCACCUAGGCGACGAUCCCUAGCUGGUCUGAGAGGAUGACCAGCCACCCUGGAACUGAGACACGGUCCAGACUCCUACGGGAGGCAGCAGUGGGGAAUAUUGCACAAUGGGCGCAAGCCUGAUGCAGCCAUGCCGCGUGUAUGAAGAAGGCCUUCGGGUUGUAAAGUACUUUCAGCGGGGAGGAAGGGAGUAAAGUUAAUACCUUUACUCAUUGACGUUACCCGCAGAAGAAGCACCGGCUAACUACGUG
rnacentral:rRNA from 1 species